UACAGAGGAGCCAAGCGUUGUCCGGAUUUACUGGGCGUAAAGAGCGCGCAGGCGGUCGUUCAAGUCGCGUGUGAAAGCCCCCCGGCUCAACUGGGGAGGGUCACGCGAUACUGAUCGACUCGAAGGCAGGAGAGGGUAGUGGAAUUCCCGGUGUAGUGGUGAAAUGCGUAGAUAUCGGGAGGAACACCGAUGGCGAAGGCAGGUCUCUGGGCAUUAACUGACGCUGAGGAGCGAAAGCAUGGGGAGCGAACAGG
rnacentral:rRNA from 1 species